GAUGAACGCUGGCGGCGUGCUUAACACAUGCAAGUCGAACGGUGAAGCAGAGCUUGCUCUGUGGAUCAGUGGCGAACGGGUGAGUAACACGUGAGCAACCUGCCCCUUACUCUGGGAUAAGCGCUGGAAACGGCGUCUAAUACUGGAUAUGAGCUGCGACCGCAUGGUCAGCAGUUGGAAAGAUUUUUCGGUAUGGGAUGGGCUCACGGCUUAUCAGCUUGGUGGUGAGGUAAUGGCUCACCAAGGCGUCGACGGGUAGCCGGCCUGAGAGGGUGACCGGCCACACUGGGCCUGAGACACGGCCCAGACGCCUACGGGAGGCAGCAGUGGGGAAUAUUGCACAAUGGGCGAAAGCCUGAUGAAGCAACGCCGCGUGAGGGAUGACGGCCUUCGGGGUGUAAAAAUCUUUUAGCAGGGAAGCAGCGAAAGUGACGGUACCUGCAGAAAAAGCGCCGGCUAACUACGUG
rnacentral:rRNA from 1 species